rnacentral:misc_RNA from 1 species
GAUGAAGAACGCAGCGAAAUGCGAUAAGUAGUGUGAAUUGCAGACUUUAGUGAAUCAUCGAAUCUUUGAACGCACAUUGCGCCCCUUGGUAUUCCAUUGGGCAUGCCUGUUCGAGCGUCAUUUACAACCUCAAGCUCCGCUCGGUGUUGGGUGUCUGUCUGCGCUUCUUGCGAAGACUCGCCCUAAAUCUAUUGGCAGCGGCAUCGCCGGCUUCUCGCGCAGUACAAUGCGUUAUGGAAGGCUACCGGCGGGCUUGCGUCCAUCAAGUAACCCCCCAAGUUUGACCUCGAAUCAGGUAGGGAUACCCGCUGAACUUAAGCAUAUCAAUAAGCGGAGGA